GUUUUCUUGAAUUAAUUUGAGAUUUGGCCUGCCCACUGAAAGGUUUUGAAGGGCCGCAGUAUUUUGACUGUGCAAAGGUAGCAUAAUCAUUAGUCUUUUAAUUAAAGGCUGGAAUGAAUGGUUGGACGAGGUAAAGACUGUCUUAUAAUAAAUUAAAAUGAAUUUAGGUGUUAAGUUAAAAAACUUAAAUGAUAUUAAGGGACGAGAAGACCCUAUAGAGUUUAAUAUUUAUAGUUUUAAUUGAGUUAAUAAAUAAUUUUUGGUUAUUGUGAAUAAUUAUUUAAUUGGGGUGAUUGGAAGAUAAUUAAAACUCUUCUUUAAUUUAAAUAUUAUGAAUAAUUAAUUGAUCCAUAUUUAGUGAUUAAAAGAUUAAAUUACCUUAGGGAUAACAGCAUAAUUUUCUUUGAGAGUUCAUAUUGAAAAGRGAGAUUGUGACCUCGAUGUUGGAUUAAGAUAAAUUUUGGGUGUAGGUGUUCAAUAAUUAAGUCUGUUCGACUUUUAAAAUCUUACA
rnacentral:rRNA from 1 species